AGCGAACGCUGGCGGCAGGCCUAACACAUGCAAGUCGAACGAACCUUUCGGGGUUAGUGGCGGACGGGUGAGUAACACGUGGGAACGUGCCUUUAGGUUCGGAAUAACUCAGGGAAACUUGUGCUAAUACCGAAUGUGCCCUUCGGGGGAAAGAUUUAUCGCCUUUAGAACGGCCCGCGUCUGAUUAGCUAGUUGGUUGAGGUAAUGGCUCACCAAGGCGACGAUCAGUAGCUGGUCUGAGAGGAUGAUCAGCCACAUUGGGACUGAGACACGGCCCAAACUCCUACGGGAGGCAGCAGUGGGGAAUCUUGCGCAAUGGGCGAAAGCCUGACGCAGCCAUGCCGCGUGAAUGAUGAAGGUCUUAGGAUUGUAAAAUUCUUUCACCGGGGACGAUAAUGACGGUACCCGGAGAAGAAGCCCCGGCUAACUUCGUG
rnacentral:rRNA from 1 species